rnacentral:lncRNA from 1 species
CCGAUUUUUUCAAAUGUGAAUUGAGUUAUCAGCUUGCUGUUUAGAAGAGGUGGUGGGAUUUGCUCAUGAGAGGGGAACCUUGUUGCCUCACUGUGAAACAAUAUCUGUAUUAUUUUCCACAGAGAAGGGUACUAGCUUUUAUGGGGUGGAGUGAAAGUUCAUGAAACCAAAAUCUUUGGGUUCAUUCAGAAAGUAAUUCCUAUUCAAGGAGCUCAGGUUUUCCAAGUUAGAGACCUGACCUUGGCAUAAGAGUUGCUUAGGUUCACCAUUUAAUCAUCUUCUAAGUUCAGCACUCUAAAUAUUAAAUCCUGGAGUUGAUGUUAAAUAUUUUCUUCUGAUCUACUGCAUGAAAUGUGGGUUUCUCUG